CGCGUAUAAUAUUAAAAUACCCGAUGAUAAUAAUAAUAAUGUUUAAUGAUACUAUAACGUUCAAUAGACGUCUUGAACGCGCGACCGAACGUCGAUUGAUAAGCAAAAUACCGAGUAUACCGUAUAAUACGCGUCUUGUAUAAUAUUGCGUGCAUUAUAAUAUUAUAAUACUCGCGCCGCCGCCGUCGUCGUCGUCGUCGGCCGGUAAUGUUAUAAUAGCAUAAUGUAUCGUAACGUUACAUAUGAAAGAAAAAAAAAAAAACGAAAUCCCGAUAAAAAAAAAAAACCGACCGAAAGACCUAUGUACCUUGCGGUGUAUACAACGUUAUAGUGGCCGGUGUUUCGAAGGGAGAAAGAUAAAGUGAGAGAGAG